rnacentral:rRNA from 1 species
UACGUAGGGUGCAAGCGUUAAUCGGAAUUACUGGGCGUAAAGCGUGCGCAGGCGGUUAUGCAAGACAGAUGUGAAAUCCCCGGGCUCAACCUGGGAACUGCAUUUGUGACUGCAUGGCUAGAGUACGGUAGAGGGGGAUGGAAUUCCGCGUGUAGCAGUGAAAUGCGUAGAUAUGCGGAGGAACACCGAUGGCGAAGGCAAUCCCCUGGACAUCAACUGACGCUGAGACGCGAAAGCGUGGGGAGCAAACAGG